rnacentral:rRNA from 1 species
CUAUACAUGCAAGUCGAACGCUUCUUUUUCCACCGGAGCUUGCUCCACCGGAAAAAGAGGAGUACGCGAACGGGUGAGUAACACGUGGGUAACCUGCCCAUCAGAAGGGGAUAACACUUGGAAACAGGUGCUAAUACCGUAUAACAAUCGAAACCGCAUGGUUUUGAUUUGAAAGGCGCUUUCGGGUGUCGCUGAUGGAUGGACCCGCGGUGCAUUAGCUAGUUGGUGAGGUAACGGCUCACCAAGGCGACGAUGCAUAGCCGACCUGAGAGGGUGAUCGGCCACAUUGGGACUGAGACACGGCCCAAACUCCUACGGGAGGCAGCAGUAGGGAAUCUUCGGCAAUGGACGAAAGUCUGACCGAGCAACGCCGCGUGAGUGAAGAAGGUUUUCGGAUCGUAAAACUCUGUUGUUAGAGAAGAACAAGGAUGAGAGUAACUGUUCAUCCCUUGACGGUAUCUAACCAGAAAGCCACGGCUAACUACGUGCCAGCAGCCGCGGUAAUACGUAGGUGGCAAGCGUUGUCCGGAUUUAUUGGGCGUAAAGCGAGCGCAGGCGGUUUCUUAAGUCUGAUGUGAAAGCCCCCGGCUCAACCGGGGAGGGUCAUUGGAAACUGGGAGACUUGAGUGCAGAAGAGGAGAGUGGAAUUCCAUGUGUAGCGGUGAAAUGCGUAGAUAUAUGGAGGAACACCAGUGGCGAAGGCGGCUCUCUGGUCUGUAACUGACGCUGAGGCUCGAAAGCGUGGGGAGCAAACAGGAUUAGAUACCCUGGUAGUCCACGCCGUAAACGAUGAGUGCUAAGUGUUGGAGGGUUUCCGCCCUUCAGUGCUGCAGCUAACGCAUUAAGCACUCCGCCUGGGGAGUACGACCGCAAGGUUGAAACUCAAAGGAAUUGACGGGGGCCCGCACAAGCGGUGGAGCAUGUGGUUUAAUUCGAAGCAACGCGAAGAACCUUACCAGGUCUUGACAUCCUUUGACCACUCUAGAGAUAGAGCUUCCCCUUCGGGGGCAAAGUGACAGGUGGUGCAUGGUUGUCGUCAGCUCGUGUCGUGAGAUGUUGGGUUAAGUCCCGCAACGAGCGCAACCCUUAUUGUUAGUUGCCAUCAUUUAGUUGGGCACUCUAGCAGGACUGCCGGUGACAAACCGGAGGAAGGUGGGGAUGACGUCAAUCAUCAGGCCCUUAUGACCUGGGCUACCACCUGCUACAUGGGAAGUAAACGAAUCCCAAGUCGCGAGGCUAACUAAUCUCUAAGCUUCCUCAUUCGGAUGGAGGCGCAAUCCGCAACUGAACCGGAAUCCUUUUAAUCCGGAAACCCCCGCC